GUUGAUCCCGCCGGAGACUACCACUAUCAGGAUUCGACUAAGCCAUGCGAGUCAUUGCGUAAGCAAGGCGUACUGCUCAGUAACACGUAGUUAACCUAACCUUUAGUGGAGGAUAACCUUGGGAAACUGAGGAUAAUACUCCAUAGGUGAUAAUGGCUGGAAUGCCUCUUCACCCAAAGUCGCAAGACGCUUAAGGAUGGGACUGCGGGAGAUUAGCCUGUUGUUAGUGUAAUUGACUAACAAAGCUAUAAUCUCUACGGGUCAUGAGAGCGAUAGCCCGGAGAUGCACUCUGAAACAUGAGUGCAGGCCCUACGGGGCGCAGCAGGCGCGAAACCUUUCCAAUGCACGAAAGUGUGAGAAGGGAAUCCUGAGUGAGUCCGCAUUAGCGGGUUCUUUUGUUGAGUCUAAAUAGCUCGGCGAAUAAGUGGUGGGUAAGACGGUUGCCAGCCGCCGCGGUAAUAACCGCGCCACGAGUGGUAGUCACGUUUAUUGGGCCUAAAGCGUCCGUAGCUGGCUUGAUGUGUCUUUGGUGAAAUCCAAUAGCAAACUAUUGGGCUUGCUGAAGAUACUAUCAGGCUUGGAGCCGGGAGAGGUUGAGGGUACUUCAUGGGUAGGGGUAAAAUCCUUUAAGCCAUGAAAGACCACCUGUGGCGAAAGCGCUCAACCAGAACGGGCUCGACAGUGAGGGACGAAAGCUUGGGGAGCGACCGGGAUUAGAUACCCCGUUAGUCCAAGCCGUUAACGAUGCCCGCUUGGUGUUACAGAUUCUUCGUGAAUCUGUAGUGCCGUAGCGAAGGUGUUAAGCGGGCCGCCUGGGGACUACGACCGCAAGGUUGAAACUUAAGGGAAUUGGCGGGGGAGCACUACCAGGGGUGGAUGCUGCGGUUUAAUUGGAUUCAACGCCAGAAAUCUGACCAGGGAAGACAGCAGAAUGAUGGUCAGCCUGAAGGGCUUACCUGACAAGCUGAGAAGUGCUGCAUGGCCGUCGUCAGUUCGUGCCGCGAGGUGUCCUGUUAAGUCAGGAAACGAACGAGACCUACGUCGUUAGUUGCUACUGGUUUCCACGGAAACCAGGCACUCUAGCGAGACUGCCCGCGCUAAGUGGGAGGAAGGAGUAGGCUACGGCAGGUCUGUAUGGCCUAAAUUUCCAUGGGUUACACGCGGCAUACAAUGCAUAGGACAAUGGGAUGCAAUGCCGUAAGGCAAAGCCAAUCUCCUAAACCUAUGCCCAGUUCGGAUCGAGGGCUGCAACUCGCCCUCGUGAAGCCGGAAUCCCUAGUAAGCGAAGGUCAUCAUCUUUCGCUGAAUACGUCCCUGCUCCUUGCACACACCGCCCGUCAAGCCAUCCGAGUGAGGUCUUGGUGAAGUUCGCGCUGAGCGAUUUGAAUCAAGGCUUUGCAAGGAGGGCUAAGUCGUAACAAGGUAGCCGUACGGGAACGUGCGGCUG
rnacentral:rRNA from 1 species